CGGGGUGCAGCAGGCGCGAAAACUUUGCAAUGCGGGAAACCGUGACAAGGGAACUCUGAGUGCCCGUUAAAUCGGGCUGUCCAUCGGUCUAAAUAACCGGUGAAGAAAGGGCCGGGCAAGACCGGUGCCAGCCGCCGCGGUAAUACCGGCGGCUCGAGUGGUGGCCACUAUUACCGGGCUUAAAGCGUUCGUAGCUGGUUUGUUAAGUCUCUGGGGAAAUCUUCCGGCUUAACCGGAAGGCGUCUCAGGGAUACUGGCAGACUAGGGACCGGGAGAGGUGAGAGGUACUCCAGGGGUAGGAGUGAAAUCCUGUAAUCCUUGGGGGACCACCUGUGGCGAAGGCGUCUCACCAGAACGGCUCCGACAGUGAGGGACGAAAGCUGGGGGAGCAAACCGGAUUAGAUACCCGGGUAGUCCCAGCUGUAAACGAUGCGCGUUAGGUGUAUCGGUGACCACGAGUCACCGAGGUGCCGAAGAGAAAUCGUGAAACGUACCGCCUGGGAAGUAAGGUCGCAAGGCUGAAACUUAAAGGAAUUGGCGGGGGAGCAC
rnacentral:rRNA from 1 species